AAGGUUUUAGCUUAGUUAAAGUGAUUGAGUUGCAUUCAGUUGAUAUAGGAUAAAGUCUUAUAAACCUUA
rnacentral:tRNA from 1 species